rnacentral:sRNA from 1 species
GCUGGGCGCGGUGGCGCACGCCUGUAAUCCCAGUGGCUUGGGAGGCUGAGGCAGGAGGAUCACGAGUUCAAAGGCAGCCUCAGCAACUGGUCGAGGUGCUAAACAACUCAGUGAGACCCUGUCUCUA